AAAAUGCACACUGAAAUCCUUCACUGGCAGAGAAAUUAUAUGACUAGGUCUUUUCCAUCUACACUUUCUCUGGUUCCAGGUUUCUGUGGUUUUAUUAUUGCAAAUUGUUUUAGGAAUCCUUUUUCCUGUAACAAUGAACAUACGUGUUCUCUAUCUUAAUCACUGUGAGACACAGCAAGGCUUAUAUUGCCAUAUAUUAAGUAAUUGCAACACUGGGCCUUCAACCAUGGUGAUAUCCCAUGAGAUUUCCCCUCCUGCAGGGUUUUAUCACUUAGACUACAUAGUUCCUGUAUACUUUCCCUCUUUUGGAGGGACAGAGUAAAAUGCUGGCUAAAGGGAGAAAGAGGGGAGUCAAACGUUAGGCUUAUUUUUUUUUCCUGGGUGUUUAAAUUAUUCAAUUGUCUUUCCUCUUAUGACUAUCCAUCACUCCAGUUAUUCAGAGACCAUUCUGACAUGAACUCUGUGAAUAUAAGCCUUGAACGCUAGCCAGGAGUAAUGAGGUCCCUUUAUCCGGGCAAAACUGUGGUACCCUUAAUCUUAACAAAUAAUCUGAGUUUGGUCUACAGCCACCAGUAAAUUAAGUUGCCUAACUUCUGGAGUAAAGGGGAGCUAAAAGCAGCUAUGCUUUUGAGGAACUGAAACCCCAACAAUGCCAAAGGCUGAUAUGAGGAGCAAAGCACUGCCAAAUGGCCUGAAAAGCAUCACUGCAUGACCUUUUGUGAAUGAAGGAGGCUGGAAAACACUUGCGCCAUCCAGUUCAGAGUGGAAGCCAGGUCCUCUAUCUAUCAAGAUGGAAAAGAGUACUGCCUUCCUUGAAACUCCCUACAUCUGAGCAGCAGCAGCAUAAGAAGAGUCAUGAAGUUGGACAUAACAGAGUGGAAGAGUUACUUAAGCGGAGACAUGUGUUUUACAGGACAAAUAGGAAGACACAAGCAUUACCCCAGUGACCUUGCAAUCCAGUCUUUGCAAAGCUGUGAAGCCACUGUUGCUCACUGAUUUGUCCACAGUGACAGCCCAGCCUUUUCUGCAGUGGCUGCGGUUCAUUUAGAACCCAGCAAUGUGAACAAGCAGAUCAAAUUAUUCCUUCCAAUAUGUAUUACCAUGUAUUUGCCAGCACUGAAUUUCAUCUGACAUCAUGUUCCCUAGUCACCUAGCGUUGUUAAGCCCCACUGGAGUUCCUCAUAGUUUUAUUUAGUUUUGACUAACCUAAUUUUUCAGAUUUUGCUAUCAUUCCCUUCCCCCACCUCUCAGAACUUAUACAGGGGUAUGUUAAAUACUUGGG
rnacentral:lncRNA from 1 species